rnacentral:rRNA from 1 species
GCCUAUGGCCAUACCAGUCUGAAAGUGUCAGAUAUCUGAAGUAAUGCAAACUUGGGCCUGAUUAGUACUUGUAUGGGAGACCAACUAAGAACCUCAGGUGCUAUAAGCU